AUUGAACGCUGGCGGCAGGCCUAACACAUGCAAGUCGAACGGUAACAGGAAGCAGCUUGCUGCUUUGCUGACGAGUGGCGGACGGGUGAGUAAUGUCUGGGAAACUGCCUCAUGGAGGGGGAUAACUACUGGAAACGGUAGCUAAUACCGCAUAACGUCGCAAGACCAAAGAGGGGGACCUUCGGGCCUCUUGCCAUCGGAUGUGCCCAGAUGGGAUUAGCUAGUAGGUGGGGUAACGGCUCACCUAGGCGACGAUCCCUAGCUGGUCUGAGAGGAUGACCAGCCUCACUGGAACUGAGACACGGUCCAGACUCCUACGGGAGGCAGCAGUGGGGAAUAUUGCACAAUGGGCGCAAGCCUGAUGCAGCCAUGCCGCGUGUAUGAAGAAGGCCUUCGGGUUGUAAAGUACUUUCAGCGGGGAGGAAGGGAGUAAAGUUAAUACCUUUGCUCAUUGACGUUACCCGCAGAAGAAGCACCGGCUAACUCCGUG
rnacentral:rRNA from 1 species